GAUUGUUAGAUACACGGGCUUGGCCCAUUUAAAUGAUAAUUCUGAAUAAAUCUCAAAGGUCCAUUAGUGUAAGAGGGGGUACACCAUCUAUUAGUCCCAUAUUGCUAAUAGACGAGGGUGUUGGGGGUUUUCCUCCCUAUAUAUAUGGACCACCUCCCUCAUGGAAUAGAUGCAAUAUAGACUACUAUACGGGAAGGCCCCAAGUUAGAGUAUCCCAAAGGUGGUCUGUACGAGUUAGGUUUUUG
rnacentral:lncRNA from 1 species